ACGAACGCUGGCGGCGUGCCUAAUACAUGCAAGUCGAGCGAGCGGAACUAACAGAUUUACCUCGGUAAUGACGUUAGGAAAGCGAGCGGCGGAUGGGUGAGUAACACGUGGGGAACCUGCCCCAUAGUCUGGGAUACCACUUGGAAACAGGUGCUAAUACCGGAUAAGAAAGCAGAUCGCAUGAUCAGCUUUUAAAAGGCGGCGUAAGCUGUCGCUAUGGGAUGGCCCCGCGGUGCAUUAGCUAGUUGGUAAGGUAAAGGCUUACCAAGGCGAUGAUGCAUAGCCGAGUUGAGAGACUGAUCGGCCACAUUGGGACUGAGACACGGCCCAAACUCCUACGGGAGGCAGCAGUAGGGAAUCUUCCACAAUGGACGCAAGUCUGAUGGAGCAACGCCGCGUGAGUGAAGAAGGUUUUCGGAUCGUAAAGCUCUGUUGUUGGUGAAGAAGGAUAGAGGUAGUAACUGGCCUUUAUUUGACGGUAAUCAACCAGAAAGUCACGGCUAACUACGUG
rnacentral:rRNA from 1 species